rnacentral:lncRNA from 1 species
GUUGAAACCAAAUAUCACAAAUUCUGCAAGACAUCUCCUGGAGGGCCUCCUGCAGAAGGACAGGACAAAGAGGCUCGGUGCCAAGGACGACUUUAUGGAGAUUAAGAAUCACGUCUUCUUCUCUCUGAUUAACUGGGAUGAUCUCAUUAAUAAGAAGAUAACGCCCCCUUUUAACCCAAAUGUGAGUGGGCCCAGCGACCUGCGGCAUUUCGAUCCUGAGUUUACCGAAGAGCCUGUCCCCAACUCCAUCGGCAGGUCCCCUGACAGCAUCCUCAUCACAGCCAGCGUGAAGGAAGCUGCUGAGGCAUUCCUGGGCUUUUCAUAUGCACCUCCCAUGGACUCUUUCCUCUGAACAGGCUUAGGGGUGGUUUUGAAGGAUUUCAUGUGUGUUUUAAAUGUUUUAGUUAGCCUUUGGGCAGAGCUGCCAGCUGACAGGACAUCUUAAAAGAGAAUUUGCACAUCUCUGGAAGCUUGGCAAUCCUGUUGCACACUGUUUCCUGGAAGCUUUUCAAAGAGCACACUCUCCUCUCAGUGAGCUCAUGAGGUUUUCAUUUUUAUCCUUCCUUCCAACGUGGUGCUAUCUCUGAAAUGAGCAUUAGCGUCCCGCCCUAGACAGAUGCAACGAUCUCCUUAGGAGGAAGAUGCUGAUCUAAGAAGGAUCUUCUGUGGGUCUGUCUGGGCUGUGAUAAGGAAUAUUCUGAAAUGUGCCUUUUCUGCUGAGAUCGUGUUAGCUCCAAAGCUUUUCCUAUCGCAGAGUGUUUCAGUUCUUUAUUUUUCCUUGUGGAUAUACUAUGUGAACAAUGGUAUGAGUGUGGUAUGCCUGAUCACAGAUGGAUUUUGUUAUAAGCAUCAAUGUGACACUUGCAGGACACUACAAUGUGGGACAUUGUUUGUUUCUUCCAUAUUUGGAAGAUAAAUUUUAUGUGUAGACUGUUUUUUUGUAAGAUAUUGUUAAUAACUAAAAUUUAUUGAAAUGGUCUUGCAAUGACUUGCAUCCAGAUGCUUAAAAGAAAGCAUUGCUGCUACAAAUAUUUCUAUUUUUAGAAAGGGUUUUUAUGGACCAAUGCCCCAGUUGUUGAAGCCAUUUGGUGUUUUCAUUGUUUAAAAUGUCACCUGUAAAAUGGGCAUUAUUUAUGUGUUUUUUUUUUUUUGGCAUUCCUGAUAAUUGUAUGUAUUGUAUAAAGAAAGUCUGUACAUUGGGUUAUAACACUAGUAUAUUUAAACUUACAGGCUUAUUUGUAAUGUAAACCACCAUUUUAAUGUACUGUAAUUAACAUGGUUAUAAUAUGUACAAUCCCUUCUUCCUACCACACAACUUUUUUUUGUGUGCAAUGAACCAAUUUUGGUUUGCAAUAAAACCUUGAAAAAUAUUUACAAAAAAAAAAAAUAAAUA